CUCCCGUUUCUAGCGGCUUCGGAUGUUUCCGGCUGCUGCCGGCGGAAAGAGCCGAGGGCCGGCGGUGGUGGCGGCCAUGUUGGGAGCAGCAGGUCCGGCGGCGGCUGCCUGUGUGCCGGGCGCGGAGCAGUGCCGCUGAGGGCAGGGGAGGAGCGAGGCAGGCGGCCGGCUGCGGCGGCAGAGAGUAGGCGGAGCGGCGCGGCCCGGCCGAAAGGCGGCACAGCCCAGCCGGGGGUCGGGGGGGUGCGGUCCGGAGCCGCUCGGAGCCGGCGCGGCCUAGCCCGAGCGGCGCAUCCCCGGGCUGGCGUGAGCGGCUGCCCGGCCUCCCCGCACCCCCGGCCGGGGCCCAUGCGGCGGGUGCUCCUGCUGUGAGAAGCCCCGCCCGGCCGGGCUCCGCGCCUUCCCUUCCCUCCCUUCCUCCAAGCUUCUCGGUUCCCUCCCCCGAGAUACCGGCGCCAUGUCCAGCGCUCGGACCCCCCUACCCACGCUGAACGAGAGGGACACGGAGCAGCAUCAGCGUUAGAUACCACGGUCACUUGACAUGGUAGAG
rnacentral:lncRNA from 1 species